CCUAUAUCGCGCCGUCCACCCAUACUUAGCCCUAAACCUAUAUCGUCGCUACGGCACCACCACUUUCCUCCGGCCAUCUCUCUCAGCCCCUCAUCUCCCUCUUCUCCUUCUAGCGUACCUGCCUCUCCCGAUCAGGAUCAAAACCACCGACUCCGGUCCUAAGCAAAACUGCAGCAUAAAUGAUAGAUACAAUUCCCCCCUUCGAAGAGCACACCGGCCUUCCCGUCGGUGACCCUCUGCACGAUCCCACUGUACAUGUGGAAAGGGUUCUUGGGGUUCUUCACAAUCACGAUCAUCCCGGGCAGGAAAAGGGGAAGCUCGGGGAGCUUCGGCUUCGCCCGCGCCAGCAACACCGCGAUGCCCAUAGUUGGAGAUCUGUCUCGUUAAAUCUUCGAUCCUGUUGCAGCCCAGUUAUUGGAUGCUCUUCUGGGACGAACAAAGGACAAGUAGGCCAUGGAUUGGAUCGUCGGCGGGAAGUACAAGCUAGGGCGCAAGAUUGGGAGCGGAUCCUUCGGAGAGAUCUUUCUCGCGACGCACGUUGACACGUUUGAGAUCGUCGCGGUUAAGAUCGAGAACAGCAAGACCAAGCAUCCACAGUUGCUUUACGAGGCCAAGCUGUAUGGCAUUCUUCAGGGAGGAAGUAUGUCAACCAAGCCAUAUGGUUCACAUUUGGUCUUCGAAACAGUCUAAGUCCUACAUUUCCCUUUUUUUAUGAUCAUGCAUGAUGGUUGUGGAUUGUUUUGUUUGGCUUCUUGGGUGGACUGUUUGAUCACAAGGAAUUCAGUUAGUUUUCUAACAAUUUUUUUGCUGGUUGUGGAUCGAGCAGUUGAGUUGAAGAAGCAGAGCUCGUGUUCCCUAGAGCUAAUUAACAAGACAGAUCAGUACCUUGCCUUUAAGAUAUUCUUUUCUCCUUUUUAUUGCAUUAUUACUUACAUCUGUGUCAUUUAACAUCAAAAUAGUGUUGUAAAUACAGAAAUUGAUUUUCCUCAUUAUUAUUCUUCUCUGAACUUGGGAUAAAAGCUACUGAGGUUCCUACACAAUUGGGAGACUUUGCAAAACCAAAGUAGCUAAUUUAUUUGGUUAAAAUGAUAGAUAGAUGAGUGAUCUUGGUCUUGGUAUGGCUAACAUUUUUUAUUUUUAUUUUUUUAUGUUUGAAACCUUUCAUUUUGUUUUGUAUGGUUCUCUCUAAGAGCAUGGACCUAGAUUCAUCUAAAGAUGAUCAAACCCCAUGCAAAUAAGUCUACUAUGCAUGUUAGCAAUUGUAGACAGAGCAUGCAAAUUGAUGCAUCUGAUAGCCAGAACCCUUUUUUACUAACUGACCAAGUAGGUGACGAAGCAAAUGGAAGCCUGGCUUCUACUAUACCAGUCCAGGAUGCAUCGACAAUCAGUUAUUUUCAUCAGCCGCAUACAGCCUCUGUACCUUUUACCCAUCUCCACAAUGAUCAAGAUGUGUAUAGCAUGCCUCUUCUAAAUCAAUGUCAUCGUCUUCUUCUGGCUCUGAUGAUUGUGAUGGAAGAGAUGAGAUUUCUAAGGAACUUAAAGACACUGGAUCCAGCAAGAUAAAGACAUUAGCAGCUCACAGAUCUUCUGAUUUAGAUAAGGCUAUGAAUCAGAAGAAAGUGGAUCGCUCUUCUUGUGGAUCCAAUACGGCAUCAAAUAGUGAAGUAGAAGCAUACACCAUGGAGAAGAAACAUGAAAAAGUGAAUGACGAGGGGAAAAAAGACUACGGCAAUUUUUCAAAAUGUGGGUUCAACAAUUACAGGCUCAGAAGUAGCGGAAGUUUAAAUGAAUCGUUGAAGGUCUCUUCAGAGGUUGUAAUAUGAUAAUUUCUUGUUAACCCCCAUUAAUGCAGAAAAUACCAACCAAAGUCUUGAUGAGGCUUGGAAGGAGCUUCAAGAGUACUUGAUUCAAACUGAAGACAGUGGGCUACUAAGAAAAAGAAUUGCUAAUUUUGUAAUCAGGUUGUUGAAGUACCAAAUGUCAGCUGGGAUGAUAUUGGUGGGCUGGAAAAUGUCAAGAGGAAACUGCAAGAGAUUAGAACAGUGGAUGUUUUAACUCAGAAAAUUAGGUAUUUGAAGAUGAAAAGUGGUGAG